UCCCUCAUAGCUCAGUUGAUAAAGAAUCUGCCUGCAAUGCAGGAGACCCAGGUUCGAUUCCUGAGUCAGGAA
rnacentral:tRNA from 1 species